rnacentral:pre_miRNA from 1 species
AGGCAGUGUAGUUAGCUGAUUGUGUUAAAUCAAAUGUGCAAUCACUAGCUAAACUGCCAUC